CCGAUGUGUUAACUACUCUGAUCAUUGUGUAGGCAAUUUCCCCUCUCUUUCCUCUUCGCCUUCCAGAUCUCUCAUCGUACCCAACUCUUCCCCUCUAGACGCCAUGAUCUACCAACGGAGGGCCACAUGUUUUAUCUUCAUCGCCUUCCUCCUCCUCCUACCACUGAUGGCAUCCUAUCCAUGUGUGGCCGCCGCACAUGACCCACCACGCCAUGCUCCAGGUGGCAACAUUGGUGUGUGGGGGUCGUUCAGAUGGGCUGAAUCAUGAAGGGGAAAAGGUGUUUGGGAUGAGAGUUGCGAGGCGCUUGGGGCAGAGGAUACCGAUGAAGAACCCUCCCUCGCCGGUCCCCAACGAAAACAUGGGGGUGGUGUUACCCUUGACACCGCCACCACCAUCGUUGAUCAAUAAACAGGUGUUGGAGGUCCAGGAUACAAGCAUGCCAUGUAACUGAAGAGGAGAUUGGCCAUACAUGUGACCCACUGCGGAUCUCUAGGGGAAUGUCAUAUUUAUUAGGCAAUAGAGCGAUGUGUGGGCCCUCAAAGAUAAUUAAUGGACCAAAAUUGGUGUGGUUAAAGAA